rnacentral:rRNA from 1 species
UCCUACGGGAGGCAGCAGUCAGGAAUCUUCCGCAAUGGACGGAAGUCUGACGGAGCGACGCCGCUUGGAGGAGGAAGCCCUUCGGGGUGUAAACUCCUGAACUGGGGACGAAAGCCCUGUGUAGGGGGAUGACGGUACCCAGGUAAUAGCGCCGGCCAACUCCGUGCCAGCAGCCGCGGUAAUACGGAGGGCGCGAGCGUUACCCGGAUUUACUGGGCGUAAAGGGCGUGUAGGCGGCCUGGGGCGUCCCAUGUGAAAGGCCACGGCUCAACCGUGGAGGAGCGUGGGAUACGCUCAGGCUAGAGGGUGGGAGAGGGUGGUGGAAUUCCCGGAGUAGCGGUGAAAUGCGCAGAUACCGGGAGGAACGCCGAUGGCGAAGGCAGCCACCUGGUCCACUUCUGACGCUGAGGCGCGAAAGCGUGGGGAGCAAACCGGAUUAGAUACCCGGGUAGUCCACGCCCUAAACGAUGCGCGCUAGGUCUCUGGGUUUAUCUGGGGGCCGAAGCCAACGCGUUAAGCGCGCCGCCUGGGGAGUACGGCCGCAAGGCUGAAACUCAAAUGAAUUGACGGA